CCUACGGGAGGCAGCAGUAGGGAAUGUUCGUCAAUGGGCGCAAGCCUGAACGAGCGAUGCCGCGUGAGUGAAGAAGGCCUUCGGGUCGUAAAGCUCUGUUGCGGGGGAAAAAAGGCAGAAUCAGGAAAUGGGUGCUGACUGAUGGUGCCCCGCCAGAAAGUCACGGCUAACUACGUGCCAGAAGCCGCGGUAAUACGUAGGUGGCUAGCGUUAUCCGGAAUGAUUGGGCGUAAAGGGUGCGCAGGCGGUCCUGCAAGUCUGGAGUGAAACGCAUGAGCUCAACUCAUGCAUGGCUUUGGAAACUGGAGGACUGGAGAGCAGGAGAGGGCAGUGGAACUCCAUGUGUAGCGGUGAAAUGCGUAGAUAUAUGGAAGAACACCAGUGGCGAAGGCGGCCGCCUGGCCUGUUGCUGACGCUGAGGCACGAAAGCGUGGGGAGCAAAUAGGAUUAGAUACCCGGGUAGUC
rnacentral:rRNA from 1 species